GCCGAGGUCCUCUUCUAGGAUUGGUUGUCCACUCAUAACCAUAAGAUAAUUAAAACGGGGGGGGGCAGGGUAAAAAAAAAACCCUUUUAUCAGCCAUAGGUUAAUGCAAGUGUUUAACAGAUGCUUCGCUAUUAAAAUAUUUCCCCCCAAUACUGAAGAAUCUUAAACCAGCAACCCUAACAGAGAUUGCGAAGAUUUUCAAAGUGGGGCACCUCGAUUUCUCGAAUCUGUGGUGUGGCGAAUAUCCGUGUUCCUCCUGCUUAACUAGCCUGUUUGAAGGCACAGUUCAUUCUCGAGCAAUUCGUCACCUCCUGGGGGUCUUCUCUUCCCGUCUACAGGAGAGUGUGACUUCAGAAAGAACUUCGGAUUGGCCAAGGCAGGUCUGAUUCUAUUUAUUCUAAAGACAGAGUUGGAGAUGGGCUACCAUUGGUGUUGAUUGAGAUGACAAGCAGUCACCUGAGCCCAUACAGCUGGGUUCACAGAUGUGGCUAGUCUUGCUAGCCAGCUCGCACUGUGGACAUUCUAGGGAACUGACUGCAGUCCUCAUGCUUGGAGUCAAACACUUUAACCACUGCACACGUUUAUGUAAUAGGAUUGACAUAUGAGAAUCAGAGAAAUGAAUGAAAGAUUAGAGUGGGAGAAAGUGCUUGCUGCCAAGCUUGAUGACCUAAAUUGAAUACCUGGAACCUACACGACAGAAAGAGAGAGCUGACUGCUGAAAGAUGUCCUCAGAUCUUCACAUGUGCACAGUGGCACCUAUCCAACCAUGCACAUAGUAUAUUAAAAAUUAUUUUUUAAAAAAUCCA